CGAGCGUCAUUUAAACCCUCAAGCAAUGCUUGGUGUUGGGUGUUUGUUCCGCCUCAGCGUGUGGACUCGCCUCAAAUUCAUUGGCAGCCGGUAUGUUGGCUUCGUGCGCAGCACAUUGCAAGCGAAUUCAGCAGACCCCCUCCCAGAAGCCCUUUUUUUACUUUGACCUCGGAUCAGGUAGGGAUACCCGCUGAACUUAA
rnacentral:misc_RNA from 1 species